CGGGAUGUGGCGCAGCUUGGUAGCGCAUCCGCUUUGGGAGCGGAGGGUCGCAGGUUCAAAUCCUGUCAUCCCGACCU
rnacentral:tRNA from 3 species